rnacentral:rRNA from 1 species
AGUGAACGCUGGCGGUAGGCCUAACACAUGCAAGUCGAACGGCAGCACAGUAAGAGCUUGCUCUUACGGGUGGCGAGUGGCGGACGGGUGAGGAAUACAUCGGAAUCUACUUUUUCGUGGGGGAUAACGUAGGGAAACUUACGCUAAUACCGCAUACGACCUACGGGUGAAAGCAGGGGAUCUUCGGACCUUGCGCGAUUGAAUGAGCCGAUGUCGGAUUAGCUAGUUGGCGGGGUAAAGGCCCACCAAGGCGACGAUCCGUAGCUGGUCUGAGAGGAUGAUCGGCCACACUGGAACUGAGACACGGUCCAGACUCCUACGGGAGGCAGCAGUGGGGAAUAUUGGACAAUGGGCGCAAGCCUGAUCCAGCCAUACCGCGUGAGUGAAGAAGGCCUUCGGGUUGUAAAGCCCUUUUGUUGGGGAAGAAAAGAAGCAGGUUAAUACCCCGCUGUUCUGACGGUACCCAAAGAAUAAGCACCGGCUAACUUCGUG